AGGUGAACCUGCGGAAGGAUCAUUCAUAAUAAGUGUUUAUGGCACUUCUUAAAUCCAUAUCCACCUUGUGUGCAAUGUCAGCCGUUUUCUUUAUGAAAGCGGCCAAACAUCAACUUAUUUUUUAACUGUCUGUCUGAAAACUAUUAUGAAUAAACAAUUCAAAUACAACUUUCAACAACGGAUCUCUUGGCUCUCG
rnacentral:misc_RNA from 1 species